CGGAAAGGCCUCUUCKGAGGUACUCGAGUGGCGAACGGGUGAGUAACACGUGGGCAAUCUGCCCUGCACUUCGGGAUAAGCCUGGGAAACUGGGUCUAAUACCGGAUAGGACCUUUAGACGCAUGUCUUUUGGUGGAAAGCUUUUGCGGUGUGGGAUGGGCCCGCGGCCUAUCAGCUUGUUGGUGGGGUGAUGGCCUACCAAGGCGACGACGGGUAGCCGGCCUGAGAGGGUGUCCGGCCACACUGGGACUGAGAUACGGCCCAGACUCCUACGGGAGGCAGCAGUGGGGAAUAUUGCACAAUGGGCGCAAGCCUGAUGCAGCGACGCCGCGUGGGGGAUGACGGCCUUCGGGUUGUAAACCUCUUUCACCAUCGACGAAGGUCCGGGUUUUCUCGGAUUGACGGUAGGUGGAGAAGAAGCACCGGCCAACUACGUGCCAGCAGCCGCGGUAAUACGUAGGGUGCGAGCGUUGUCCGGAAUUACUGGGCGUAAAGAGCUCGUAGGUGGUU
rnacentral:rRNA from 1 species